UAAGUACCAGAUUUAUGUAUGAGAGGCCGUCUAGCUCACAACUCAUACUUGGUCUUACAAACAAUGUCAGAAUCUCAAAUUUACACCACCAGACUCUUUC